GAGGACCGAGAUCUGACAAUAGGGUGAAUUUAUUAGAACAGAGUGGAAGAUACACACCACUGAACACGAGCAGAGCAGAAAUAUAUGUUGCAAUAAAAGACAAGGGGUUACUAACACCGCCAAAACAGAUUAUAGGGGGAUUGGGCGGAAGUGCUCACCACAAGUAUUGCGAGUUUCACAAGGUGACCAGACAUGGAACUGUGGAUUGCAUUGACUUGAAAGAACAGAUUGAAUAGCUAGUGCAAAAUCAAUAUCUAAAGGAGUAUGUGGAUGACCAAGGAAGAGGUGGGAGAAGAGGAGACAUCAUAGAUAAUGUAGCGAUGAUGAUUAUGGAAGGGCCGACCUUAGCAGAAGACUCAAACCGCUCAAGGAGAAAUUAUAGCAGAUAUUCAUU
rnacentral:lncRNA from 1 species